GUCCAAUCUGUAACUUUCAUCCUCCUAGGGAAUUUUUUUAAUAAAAACAUUCAAUAUUUCUUUUUCGGUGUUUUCGUAUUCUAAUUCAUCUUUAUUUAUUGUUGUUUAUGCCAAACCCUUUAACCUUUCUUCAUUAAUUGUAGCGCGUAGUUAAGUUUUCAGUCUCUUUAGAACAACAAAAUAUACAUUCUGGGGUAGCGUAUGUUACAGGCAGAGUAACAAAUAAAUGAAGAAUCUUCUUUAUAUUUGGAAAAAGCUCUGUGCAGUGUUGAAUUGCUUCUACAGCAGUCUCUGGGAAAUUUUCUUUCAAUUGUCAUUGUUUUCUCUAUAUGAAUAAAUCUGCUUUCGAACAUAAAUUCAUACUAAUUAAAAAGUAAUUUUCGUAAAUAGAAGUAGCAGCUAAGAUCGAUUGGUCGUCAUAAUAUGUCAAACUAUAUGGUAUGAGUUCUUCUAGUUAAAUAAUUAUUUCUAGUAUUUUAUCAAAUCUUGAAUGUAACUGAAUAAUUAGAUUAUCAAGAAAUGGUAUAAAUAUUGCUAUUUUAUAAUAUUUCUCUGCGUCAUUGGCAUUUAGAUUGUUUCCGGUAGUUAGUAUCCCAUAGGUUUGAAGCAUGGAUUUUUAACGUCUAGUUCAGAAGCUAUUGUGGUAAUAUUUUUCAUUAUUUUUAUAGUGGUCAUAGAUUAUUCUAGGC